rnacentral:tRNA from 1 species
UCCCUGCUGGCUCAGAGGUUAAAGCGUCUGCCUGCAAUGCAGGAGAUCCAGGUUCAAUCCCUCGGUGGGGAA